rnacentral:lncRNA from 1 species
AAGUGCAUUGAAAAAGGUUGGUGUAAUCGUUUACCAAUAGGUGGUAAAUGUUUACGCGAAUGUUUUGUUCAAUUUGUACACAAAGUCCUUCACAAGGGACCACAUUUUUGUACACAAGGGACCAAGAUGUCAAAUUUCAACUUUUUGGCAAACUUUGCAUCGGUUUUAGUUUUUUUUGGUUUUAAGUUGUGUUUUGGGGGUGGAGAGUUGAUUUUGGGGACCCCAAAUUCCAUUGAGGAAGGUCUUGUGUUCACAAAAAGUAGUUGGAUGAAAUCAUGAGUCAAGUGCAUUAAAAAAAGGUGGUGUAAUCGUGUACCAAUAGGUGGUAAAUGUUUACGCGAAUGUUUUGUUCAAUUUGUACAGAAAGUCCUUCACAAGGGACCANUUUUUUGUACACAGGGGACCACAUUGUAAAAUUUUAACUUUUUGGCAAACUUUGGAUUGGUUUUUGAUGAUUUUGG